UGUCGUCAGCUCGUGUUGUGAAAUGUUGGGUUAAGUCCCGCAACGAGCGCAACCCUUAUCCUUUGUUGCCAGCGGUCCGGCCGGGAACUCAAAGGAGACUGCCAGUGAUAAACUGGAGGAAGGUGGGGAUGACGUCAAGUCAUCAUGGCCCUUACGACCAGGGCUACACACGUGCUACAAUGGCGCAUACAAAGAGAAGCGACCUCGCGAGAGCAAGCGGACCUCAUAAAGUGCGUCGUAGUCCGGAUUGGAGUCUGCAACUCGACUCCAUGAAGUCGGAAUCGCUAGUAAUCGUGGAUCAGAAUGCCACGGUGAAUACGUUCCCGGGCCUUGUACACACCGCCCGUCACACCAUGGGAGUGGGUUGCAAAAGAAGUAGGUAGCUUAACCUUAGGGAGGGCGCUUACCACUUUGUGAUUCAUGACUGGGGUGAAGUCGUAACAAGGUAACCGUAGGGGAACCUGCGGUUGGAUCACCUCCUUACCUUAAAGAAGC
rnacentral:rRNA from 1 species